GACAGGAAGAGGAAAAAGGAGGGCCUAAGAGCGGUGGGCAUGGGACAUGAUGGAAAGCUAAAGACCUCAGUUCCUCGUCUAACACUGUAAGAUGUUUUCUGUCAAAAAAAAAACACUAAGAUGCUUUGUUUUGAGUUUCCUGAUGCCUCUCAUGCCUAUUGUUCUUUGGUGUUCCUUCCUCUUCCUUCUAGUU
rfam:Triticum urartu cultivar G1812 contig794460, whole genome shotgun sequence.